UACGUAGGGGGCUAGCGUUGUCCGGAAUCAUUGGGCGUAAAGAGCUCGUAGGUGGUUUGUUACGUCUGCUGUGAAAACCUAGGGCUUAACCCUGGGCCUGCAGUGGAUACGGGCAGACUAGAGGUAGGUAGGGGAGAAUGGAAUUCCCGGUGUAGCGGUGAAAUGCGCAGAUAUCAGGAGGAACACCGGUGGCGAAGGCGGGUCUCUGGGCCGUAACUGACGCUGAGGAGCGAAAGCGUGGGGAGCGAACAGG
rnacentral:rRNA from 1 species